UACUGGAUGGAAGUUCCACUUGCGUGCC
rnacentral:piRNA from 1 species